AACAUGGUUUUAAAGUGGUUUUUGGCCACUGUCACGCUGGCCUUAGGUGGUCUUAGCUGGUUUUAGCUGGUUUUCUUUACUGAAUCAACUGGUUUUAGCUGGAUUAGAAUAGAAAAAUGUUAACAAAAUGCUAGUAACUUGCUUAUCAGACUAGAAACAUACUUCUAACAUGGUUUAAAGUGGUUUUGGCCACUGUCACGCUGGCCUUAGCUGGUCUUAGCUGGUUUUAGCUGGUUUUUCUUUACUGAAUCAACUGGUUUUAGCUAGAUUAUCAUAGAAACAUGUUAACAACAUGUUAGUAACUUGAUAAUCAGGUUAGAAACAUGCUUUUUAACAUGCUUUUAACAUGGUUUUUAAAGUAGUUUUGGCCACUGUCACGCUGGUCUUAGCUGGUCUUAGCUGGUUUUAGCUGGUUUUCUUUACUGAAUCAACUGGUUUUUAGCUAGAUUAUCAUAGAAACAUGCUAGCGACAUGCUAGUCAAUCACUAAUCAUGCUAAAAACAUGCUAGUCACUUGCUAAUCAUGCUAAAAACAUGCUAGCGACAUGCUAAUCACUUGCUAAUCAUGCUAGAAACAUGCUAGAGACAUGCUAGUAACUUGCUAAUCAUGCUAAAAACAUGCUAGUGACAUGCUAGUCACUUGUUAAUCAUGCUAUAAACAUGCUAGCGACAUGCUAGUCACUUGAUAAUCAUGCUAGAAACAUGCUAGCGACAUGCUAGUCACUUGUUAAUCAUGCUAUAAACAUGCUAGCGACAUGCUAGUCACUUGCUAAUCAUGCUAGAAACAUGCUAGCGACAUGCUAGUCACUUGCUAAUCAUGCUAGAAACAUGCUAGCGACAUGCUAGUCACUUGCUAAUCAUGCUAGCAACAUGCUAGCAACUUUGCUAAUCAUGCUAAUGACAUGUUAGUCACUUGCUUUUAAUGCUAGCAAUAUGUUAAUCACUUUCUUUUUUUAAACUUCUGAACUUUUUCAAAAUUUUUAAAUUUUUCAAACUUUCUGGUCAGGCUUUUUCAAGCCAACUUAAAGUUUGAACACAAACUUUACUAUCUAGUUAUUCUUCUUCUUCUUCUUCUUCUUCUAGAUCCGUACAAAUUUCGGCGCGUAACUAGUCCCGCAGUUUUUGUCACAGACCCGCAAAAGAGGUGUCAAAUCGUGGGGCCUAUUCGGGAAUGGUGUGCUAUGACUUUUAUAAGCGAUCGGGCGUACGAUGUUCGCACACCGGGCGAAAUAUCGCCCUAAAAAUCGCAUAGACAAUGCA
ensembl:lncRNA